GUGUCAGCCGCCGCGGUAAUACAGAGGUCUCAAGCGUUGUUCGGAUUCAUUGGGCGUAAAGGGUGCGUAGGCGGUGGGGCAAGUCAGGUGUGAAAUCCCGGAGCUCAACUCCGGAACUGCACUUGAUACUGCUUUACUAGAGUACUGGAGAGGAGACUGGAAUUUACGGUGUAGCAGUGAAAUGCGUAGAUAUCGUAAGGAAGACCAGUGGCGAAGGCGAGUCUCUGGACAGUUACUGACGCUGAGGCACGAAGGCCAGGGGAGCAAACGGGAUUAGAUACCCCGGUAGUCC
rnacentral:rRNA from 1 species